rnacentral:piRNA from 1 species
UCAUAUCUACUACACAGAUGUGCUUCAUGUU